rnacentral:snRNA from 1 species
AGACGUGAUGGUGGUCUGGCUUCUGCUGUUCCAGUGACCAUCAGGGUUGAUUCAGCUGACCUGGCUGGCUAGAUGUUUUCCCCCUUUCUACUCACUGGUCCACAUAUGUCCCUCCCAAAGUGGCAUACUCAUUCUAAGAGGACUCUCUUACCUGAUAGAGGACCAUUCUUCAGUCAAGAGUUUAUGAGUAGCUGUAUUCCCCUGCUAGAACCUCCAAAGAAGCUCCAAGGACCUGGCUGUCUUCAUGCUAAGUCAGGCAUUGAUUGGUUUGUGCUU